rnacentral:rRNA from 1 species
UACGUAGGGUGCGAGCGUUAAUCGGGAAUUACUGGGCGUAAAGCGUGCGUAGACGGUUAUGUAAGUCAGGUGUGAAAGCCCCGGGCUCAACCUGGGAAUGGCAUUUGAGACUGCAUAGCUAGGGUGCGGAAGAGGGAAGCGGAAUUUCCGGUGUAGCGGUGAAAUGCGUAGAUAUCGGAAGGAACAUCAGUGGCGAAAGCGGCUUCCUGGUCCAGCACCGACGUCAGGCACGAAAGCGUGGGGAGCAAACAGG